rnacentral:rRNA from 1 species
UCCUGGCUCAGGAUGAACGCUGGCGGCAUGCCUAACACAUGCAAGUCGAACGAAGCACAUGACGAAGCUUGCUUAAGAUUGUGACUUAGUGGCGGACGGGUGAGUAACGCGUGAGUAACCUGCCUUUCACAGGGGGAUAACGUUUGGAAACGAACGCUAAUACCGCAUAACAUAGCGAGGUCGCAUGGCUUUGCUAUCAAAGAUUUUAUCGGUGAAAGAUGGACUCGCAUCCGAUUAGGUAGUUGGUGAGGUAACGGCCCACCAAGCCGACGAUCGGUAGCCGGACUGAGAGGUUGAACGGCCACAUUGGGACUGAGACACGGCCCAGACUCCUACGGGAGGCAGCAGUGGGGAAUAUUGCACAAUGGGCGCAAGCCUGAUGCAGCAACGCCGCGUGAGGGAAGACGGUUUUCGGAUUGUAAACCUCUGUCUUUGGUGACGAAGAAGUGACGGUAGCCAAGGAGGAAGCCACGGCUAACUACGUG